rnacentral:rRNA from 1 species
AUUGAACGCUGGCGGAAUGCUUUACACAUGCAAGUCGAACGGCAGCACGGACUUCGGUCUGGUGGCGAGUGGGGAACGGGUGAGUAAUACAUCGGAACGUGCCCAGUCGUGGGGGAUAACGUAGCGAAAGCUACGCUAAUACCGCAUACGAUCUAAGGAUGAAAGCGGGGGAUCGCAAGACCUCGCGCGAUUGGAGCGGCCGAUGGCAGAUUAGGUAGUUGGUAGGGUAAAGGCCUACCAAGCCGACGAUCUGUAGCUGGUCUGAGAGGAUGAUCAGCCACACUGGGACUGAGACACGGCCCAGACUCCUACGGGAGGCAGCAGUGGGGAAUUUUGGACAAUGGGCGCAAGCCUGAUCCAGCCAUUCCGCGUGCAGGAUGAAGGCCUUCGGGUUGUAAACUGCUUUUGUACAGAACGAAAAGGCUCUGGUUAAUACCCGGGGCUCAUGACGGUACUGUAAGAAUAAGCACCGGCUAACUACGCGCCAGCCGCCGCCGUAA